rnacentral:lncRNA from 1 species
AUUAUUGAAAAGCUUUCGUUGUUGUUGGUAUAUUUUUCUAUUCCUUUCUAUAAUUUUCUUUCUCUUUUGCUUUUUGCACAGAGAAAAAAUAAAUCAUAACUUUAUUUGUGGAAAGAAAAUAGUUACAAAAUUGUGUUUCUGUCUUUGUCAAUUCUUUAUGAUCAUAGAGUUAGCUGUUGUUGCAAGAUUCAUGUAGGACAGUGAAAGGAAUCAGGAUGCAUAAGGUGUAUAAGUUUUUUGCUCAUAGAUUGAAUUUUACAUAAAAUAAAUAGUAGUAGAUGCCUAUAAUAAGCUAUUUCUAAUACUAAGAAAAGGUUCUGUAAUAAUAACUAUUUCUUCCUUUUUGGAUUUGGACACGUUAUCAAACAGAUUUCCCAAGGCGACGAAGGUAUGUAGCUAAUGCAGUCAAGAUGCAAAGAAUAUGCUUUCCAUAUUUGAAGAUGAUAAUCAUGUACCUGAAGUAGUCGAAGAAGUUGUAGUGAUGCCAUCAGCAACAAUUUCGUUCCUAUCAACUUCACUCAAUGGUGUGUGCAGUUUGUACCCAAUGGGUCUCAUUUCCUUUCACUGGGGACUCUAAAUUCAAACCAGUGAUCCAAUAUUGUGUUCAUGAGGUUUUCACAUAAUUGUGUGUGUGGUUUUUGUGAUGACAAAGACUUUAAGUCUUGAAAUAUUUUUUAAUUUGUGUUUCAGGAAGUACAUAUUGAGGUUUGGUAACCAUAUCUAA